GGGGUGUAGCUCAGCUGGGAGAGCAAUUGCCUUGCACGCAAUAGGUCAGGGGUUCAAAUCCCCUCACCUCC
rnacentral:tRNA from 1 species